rnacentral:rRNA from 1 species
CAUGCAAGUCGAACGGUAGCACAGAGAGCUUGCUCUCGGGUGACGAGUGGCGGACGGGUGAGUAAUGUCUGGGAAACUGCCUGAUGGAGGGGGAUAACUACUGGAAACGGUAGCUAAUACCGCAUAACGUCGAAAGACCAAAGAGGGGGACCUUCGGGCCUCUUGCCAUCAGAUGUGCCCAGAUGGGAUUAGCUAGUAGGUGGGGUAACGGCUCACCUAGGCGACGAUCCCUAGCUGGUCUGAGAGGAUGACCAGCCACACUGGAACUGAGACACGGUCCAGACUCCUACGGGAGGCAGCAGUGGGGAAUAUUGCACAAUGGGCGCAAGCCUGAUGCAGCCAUGCCGCGUGUAUGAAGAAGGCCUUCGGGUUGUAAAGUACUUUCAGCGGGGAG